CAGUAGCCGCGGUAAUACGUAGGUGGCAAGCGUUGUCCGGAAUUAUUGGGCGUAAAGGGCACGCAGGCGGUUUCUUAAGUCUGAUGUGAAAGCCCCCGGCUCAACCGGGGAGGGUCAUUGGAAACUGGGAAACUUGAGUGCAGAAGAGGAGAGUGGAAUUCCACGUGUAGCGGUGAAAUGCGUAGAGAUGUGGAGGAACACCAGUGGCGAAGGCGACUCUCUGGCCUGUAACUGACGCUGAGGAGCGAAAGCGUGGGGAGCGAACAGGAUUAGAUACCCCGGUAGUCCCUGUCUCUUAUAC
rnacentral:rRNA from 1 species